rnacentral:rRNA from 1 species
CCUACGGGUGGCAGCAGUAGGGAAUCUUCCACAAUGGACGAAAGUCUGAUGGAGCAACGCCGCGUGAGUGAAGAAGGUUUUCGGAUCGUAAAGCUCUGUUGGUAGUGAAGAACGAUAGAGUUAGUAACUGGCCUUUAUUUGACGGUAAUUACUUAGAAAGUCACGGCUAACUACGUGCCAGCAGCCGCGGUAAUACGUAGGUGGCAAGCGUUGUCCGGAUUUAUUGGGCGUAAAGCGAGUGCAGGCGGUUCAAUAAGUCUGAUGUGAAAGCCUUCGGCUCAACCGGGGAAUGGCAUUGGAAACUGUUGGACUUGAGUGCAGAAGAGGAGAGUGGAACUCCAUGUGUAGCGGUGGAAUGCGUAGAUAUAUGGAGGAACACCAGUGGCGAAGGCGGCUCGCUGGGCUGCAACUGACGCUGAGGCUCGAAAGCAUGGGUAGCGAACAGGAUUAGAUACCCGGGUAGUC